GGUCGCUCUGUACAAGUCCAGGUUGGUGAUGACCCCAGCAGUCCCCACGGGGUCCCUGGGGGGCUGCCCCUAGAUGAAAUAUUCCUUCUUGUCGUCCCCGCCCGACUGCCCGCCUUCUGCGUUGAUGAUGGCUGUGUCUGCAUCUGGGGCAUCGUCAGAGCCUUUCGCCUCGUGUGUCAGGGGCCGACUGAGUCUCCAAAGGCCCUUCCUGCAGCCUUCCCUUCACUGAUCUCCCUACCCACUCCCAAUCCCUCCUGAUGCUUCCCUCAUGCCUCUGACCUUUGUGCCGGAUCAAGUAGUGGCCAAGGAAGAUAAGCAGGACGAGCAGCAGGAAGACGAUGAAAGCUACGAUCCCACCAAUGAUGGCGUGCAGACAACAUGGACUAACAUCAGGAGACUGGAGUGGCAUCUUCCAGCAAAAAGGGAUAUGUCUUCUUUUGUACCUAGUUUCUUACAGACUAUCUGGAACAUAGUAAUUGUUUUAAAAGAAUGUAAUCAUGAAUAAAUAGAUACAUCUGCUCACACUCAACCUUUUAAAUUGAGUUCGUGAACCUGAAGCUU